AUACAUAGGGAGCAAGCGUUAUCCGGAAUUACUGGGCGUAAAGGGCGCGUAGGCGGUAGCUUAAGCUAGAUGUGAAAGACCAUGGCUCAACCAAGGAACAGCAUUUAGAACUGGGUUACUAGAGGACGAGAGAGGAAAGUGGAAUUCCUAGUGUAGCGGUGGAAUGCGUAGAUAUUAGGAGGAACACCAGUGGCGAAGGCGACUUUCUGGCUCGUACCUGACGCUGAGGCGCGAAAGCGUGGGGAGCAAACAGGAUUAGAUACCCUGGUAGUCCACGCCGUAAACGAUGAGUACUAGGUGUAGGGGGCAACGAUCCUCUGUGCCGCAGCUAACGCAUUAAGUACUCCGCCUGGGGAGUACGGUCGCAAGACUGAA
rnacentral:rRNA from 1 species